rnacentral:lncRNA from 1 species
CUCAAUAUUGCGCGCCCUAUUGGGGGCGAGGAUUUACGGAGUCGCCAUCCAUCGGAAGCGCCUCACUUGCGUAGUAUGAGGGAUAACGCGGCGCGCUUCUCAUAUAGGUUAGGCUGUCGGCGCUCAAUAAAAGCACCACGUGGGAGCCUUCCUGGACAUUUAUGUAAGUAGUCGCGAAACGAGGGAAGUUUUCUACUGUCAAAAUAAUAAUCUUGGGCAAACAGAAAACAGAAUGGUUUACAGA